rnacentral:siRNA from 1 species
CUUAAAACUCUAACCCGCCCCAAC